UUAACACAUUAAUCAAAUUACUUUCUUUAUUAUUCAUAAACUGUAAAUAAUUAAAACAAUGAUUAAAACGGCGAAUAAUAAAAAUCUUAUUACUUGACACUGGCUAAUGUACAAACCGUGCCGGAGCCAAAAAAAAGAGAAGAAAGGUUGGCGCGACAUUUAAUUUCCGAUUUUUGCAUCAAAACAAUUUUUCUUUAGUGCCGAGAAAACAUAGAAAUUCUAAAAAAAAAAACAAAAACUUAACAAGAGGAAACUAAUACCUAUGUAACAUUUUUAAUCAUAAGACUUUCCGAAUAUGUACCUACCUAAUGGAAAGUCAUCGUUUACGGAAAGAAAAAGUUCGCAUGGCUUAGUGUAAACGCAUGCUGUGAAUUAUAUUAAUCUGUUCGAAAUGAUGACGGAUGCAAUGCCGGAUUUUUUUUUAUAUAAAUGAACGAAAUUUAUUUUGAAA